rnacentral:rRNA from 1 species
GAUGAACGCUAGCUACAGGCUUAACACAUGCAAGUCGAGGGGAAACGAUAUUGGAAGCUUGCUUCCGAUAGGCGUCGACCGGCGUACGGGUGAGUAACGCGUAUCCAACCUGCCCACCACUUGGGGAUAACCUUGCGAAAGUAAGACUAAUACCCAAUGAUAUCUCUAGAAGACAUCUGAAGGAGAUUAAAGAUUUAUCGGUGAUGGAUGGGGAUGCGUCUGAUUAGCUUGUUGGCGGGGUAACGGCCCACCAAGGCGACGAUCAGUAGGGGUUCUGAGAGGAAGGUCCCCCACAUUGGAACUGAGAUACGGUCCAAACUCCUACGGGAGGCAGCAGUGAGGAAUAUUGGUCAAUGGGCGAGAGCCUGAACCAGCCAAGUAGCGUGCAGGAUGACGGCCCUAUGGGUUGUAAGCUGCUUUUAUAAGGGAAUAAAGUGAGCCUCGUGAGGCUUUUUGCAUGUACCUUAUGAAUAAGGACCGGCUAAUUCCGUGCCAGCCGCCGCUGUAA